AAACCAACAGGGAUUGCCUCAGUAACGGCGAGUGAAGCGGCAAGAGCUCAACUUUGGAAUCGCUCCGGCGAGUUGUAGUCUGGAGGCCAUCAGCCCCCGGCUCCGUGUGCGCGGCUAAGUCCUCUGGAACGAGGCGCCAGCGAGGGUGACAGCCCCGUGGCCGCAAGCAGCAGGAGUCGGCCUUGGUGUGCCGACGAGUCGAGUUGUUUGGGAAUGCAGCUCUAAGUGGGUGGUAAAUUCCAUCUAAAGCUAAAUACCGGCGAGAGACCGAUAGCGAACAAGUACAGUAAUGGAAAGAUGAAAAGCACUUUGAAAAGAGAGUGAAACAGUACGUGAAAUUGUUGAAAGGGAAGGGCUUGCAGGUAGACUACUGUCAGCAUCAGGUGGGGGGGAAUUACAAAGACCUUUUAAUGUGGCAACCCGCUUCUGCGGGUUGUGUUAUAGAAUUGGUUAAUGAUUCCUCCCCCGCCUGAGGAUCGCCUUUUUGAAGGAUGCUGGCGCAAUGGCUGCAAGCCAC
rnacentral:rRNA from 1 species